GCUGGGCAUGGUGGCGCAUGCCUGUAAUCCCAGCUACUCAGGAUGCUGAGGCAGGAGAAUCGCUUGAACCCAGGAGGCAAAGAUUGGCAGUGAGCUGGGAUUGUGCCACUGCUCUCCAGCCUGGGUGACAGAGUGAGACUCUGUCUCAA
rnacentral:SRP_RNA from 1 species